AGAGUUUGAUCCUGGCUCAGAUUGAACGCUGGCGGCAGGCCUAACACAUGCAAGUCGAGCGGAUGAAGGGAGCUUGCUCCUGGAUUCAGCGGCGGACGGGUGAGUAAUGCCUAGGAAUCUGCCUGGUAGUGGGGGAUAACGUCCGGAAACGGGCGCUAAUACCGCAUACGUCCUGAGGGAGAAAGUGGGGGAUCUUCGGACCUCACGCUAUCAGAUGAGCCUAGGUCGGAUUAGCUAGUUGGUGGGGUAAAGGCCUACCAAGGCGACGAUCCGUAACUGGUCUGAGAGGAUGAUCAGUCACACUGGAACUGAGACACGGUCCAGACUCCUACGGGAGGCAGCAGUGGGGAAUAUUGGACAAUGGGCGAAAGCCUGAUCCAGCCAUGCCGCGUGUGUGAAGAAGGUCUUCGGAUUGUAAAGCACUUUAAGUUGGGAGGAAGGGCAGUAAGUUAAUACCUUGCUGUUUUGACGUUACCAACAGAAUAAGCACCGGCUAACUUCGUGCCAGCAGCCCGCGGUAAUACGAAGGGUGCAAGCGUUAAUCGGAAUUACUGGGCGUAAAGCGCGCGUAGGUGGUUCAGCAAGUUGGAUGUGAAAUCCCCGGGCUCAACCUGGGAACUGCAUCCAAAACUACUGAGCUAGAGUACGGUAGAGGGUGGUGGAAUUUCCUGUGUAGCGGUGAAAUGCGUANAUAUAGGAAGGAACACCAGUGGCGAAGGCGACCACCUGGACUGAUACUGACACUGAGGUGCGAAAGCGUGGGGAGCAAACAGGAUUANAUACCCUGGUAGUCCACGCCNNAAACNAUGUCNACUANCCCUU
rnacentral:rRNA from 1 species